rnacentral:rRNA from 1 species
UACGGGGGGGGGCAAGCGUUGUUCGGAAUUACUGGGCGUAAAGGGCGCGUAGGCGGCCUGCUAAGUCACACGUGAAAUCCCUCGGCUCAACCGGGGAACUGCGUGUGAUACUGGCGGGCUUGAAUUCGGGAGAGGGAUGUGGAAUUCCAGGUGUAGCGGUGAAAUGCGUAGAUAUCUGGAGGAACACCGGUGGCGAAGGCGGCAUCCUGGACCGAGAUUGACGCUGAGGCGCGAAAGCUAGGGUAGCAAACGGG